AAUAAAUACAAAUAAAAUUUAUUAUUAAAAGUUAAAAUGUUGAUUUAAUUUAUAAUAAAAUUUAUUAGGUUAAAUUUUAAAUUUUAAAAAUAAUUAUUCUAAAAAAUAUUUUAAGCUUAGAAAUUUUUGUAAUAAACUAGGAUUAGAUACCCUAUUAUAAAAAAUGUAAUUUUAAAUAAUAGAGUAGUAAUAGUUAUUUUCUUAAAACUUAAUAAAUUUGGCGGUAUUUUAAUCUAAUCAGAGGAACUUGUUUUAUAAUUGAUAAUCCUCGUUAUAUCUUACUUAAUUUAUUAAUUUGUAUACCAUCGUCAUAAGAAUCUCUUAAAAAAGUAAAAAUUUUCUAAAAAAUUUAUUAGUUAAAAUGUCAGAUCAAGGUGCAGUUUAUAAUUAAGAAAAAAUGAGUUACAAUAAAAUUAUUUAUAUGAAUAUUAAGUUUAAAUACUUAAUUGAAGGUGGAUUUGACAGUAAAAAAAAAUAAUAAAUUUUUUUGAUUAUAGUUCUAAAAUAUGCACAUAUCGCCCGUCGCUCUCGUUAUUUAAAAUGAG
rnacentral:rRNA from 1 species